UCUCGCUCGUCGGUCAGCCAGAGCAGAAGGCGCACGCAACUCGCAGUCGAAAACCUAAUCCCCAAUCCUCAUCUGGCAUCCGGCCAUCCCCAAUUCCCCAUCCCCAUCCAGCCCUCCCGCCGGGGCCGUCCGGCCAUCCGGGCGUCCGCCGCUCCGUCCUGUCAUUCCACCAAGAAGAGACGCCGCUCCGCUCCCCUUCGAAGGAGCGCUGCCUUGUGCCUUGCCUGCCUGCUCCCUGCUGGAUCUCCCUCUACCACGAGCAGCCAGCCCGCCAGUCGCCAGACGUCGGUCCGAACUCUGAAGCAAGGCAGCAAGCACUCGGCGCCGCGGGCCGCCGAUCCGGAGCCCGGAGGAGAUGACGGGCUGUUGCCCAAGCUCCUGAAUGGCUGAUUCCCCCUGAAUCCCUAGUUUCUGACGCCCUUUGGCCUUUGGAAUCGAAGAUGAAGAGGAAUGGUGACAUUAAGUCCUUUUUUCAGAAUUAUGAGGCUGCUAAAAGAAGGAAGGUUGCAACCGAAGAGCAACCUGAAGAUAUAGUGUCAAAUAUUGAAGAUGAAGCAGUCCAUUCUCCACCUCGAGUCCAUUCUGCAGGAAUUGAAUUUGAUAUUGGAGAUGAAGCAGUCCAUUCCGAUGCAGAGAUUGAAAGUGAUAGUGAAGAUGAAGCAGUCCAUUCUCCGUGUGCAAGGCCAUAUAAUAUUCAAAGGCUUCCUCCUGAUCCAGGGUAGAGGAUUCCUAUUUCAGAGUAUGAUGUUGAUGAUCAAGAUGAAGUUCGGAGACGAUACAUUGCAAAGCAAGCAGUCCAACCAUAUGCACACAACUUUUAAGUCAGGAAAAUCUAUGGUAAAAAUCGACACUUCAACUUUGUUUGGUUUGAGACCUACAAAUGGUUAGAAUAUAGUGUCAAAUACGAGGCAGCAUUUUGCUUUGUGUGUUAUUUGUUCAAAGGGAAAUCUAAUGGGGGCCUAGGGGUGAUGCCUUUGUUAAUGGUGGUUGGAAAAAUUGGUAUAAGCCCGAUGCAUUGGUCAAACAUGUUGGUGGUUUUAAUAGCAUUCACAACAAAGCUCAAGAGAAGUACAAUUUAUUUGUGGCAGCCCAACCAUCAAUUGAUAACAUUAUGGUGAGGGUGGAUAAAGAGGAUUUGCGUAUGUACAAGGCUAGGCUGACUUAUUCACUUAGAUGCUUGAGGUUUCUUUUGAACCAAGGAUUGGCAUUUCGUGGACAUGAUGAGAGUGAAGAAUCUAGCAAUAGGGGGAACUUUCUUGAACUUCUUAAAUGGCUUUUAGAAAAUAAUGAAGAAGUUAAUAAACUUGUUUUGAACAAUGCUUCUAGGAAUUGCAUCUUGACUAGUCCAAAGAUACAAAAUCAAAUAAUUGAAUGUUGUGCGGCGCAAACAACUAAAAGAAUUAUUGAAGAUAUUGGUGAUGACCACUAUGCAAUCCUGGCUGAUGAGUCUAGUGAUGCAUCUCAUAAAGAACAACUUGCUCUCUGCAUACGAUUUGUUGACAAAUCGGGAAGAGGAUGUGAGAGGUUCCUUGGAGUUGUUCAUGUUGCCAAUACAACUUCAUUGUCACUUAAGGAUGCAAUUCAAACUUUGCUUAAAGAUCAUCAUUUGACUCCUAGUCAAAUACGUGGCAAGGAUAUGAUGGGGCUAGCAACAUGAAAGGGGAGAUCAAAGGGUUGAAAACAUUGAUCAUGAAAGAGUCACCCUCUGCCUAUUACAUCCAUUGUUUUGCACAUCAACUUCAGUUGGUUCUCAUAGCUGUGGCAAAGGACAAUGAACCAUGUUUGUGGUUCUUUGACCACGUUUCUUACUUGCUCAAUAUUGUUGGAGUUUCUUGUAAGCGCCACGACAUGCUUCGAGAUGUUAGAGCUCAAAAGGUGUUGGAAGCACUUGAAAUGGGUGAGAUUGAAAGUGGAAGUGGGCUAAAUCAAGAGAUGGGACUAGCUAGACCCGGCGACACUCGUUGGGGUUCUCAUUUUAAAACCAUUAUGCACAUUGUUAGCAUGUAUUCCACAAUCCUUGAAGUACUUGAUGCUAUUGGAAAAGAUCCUUCACAAAAAAGUGAGUGGACAAGAAUACGUGGAGUUGCUCAAGCCUUUGAAUCAUUUGACUUUGUUUUCAAUCUUCACUUGAUGCUUGUUAUUCUUGGCUAUACAAAUGAGUUGUCCAAAUCUUUGCAAAAGAGAGAUCAAUGAAUCUAGUGAAAAAUAAGUUGAGGACUACUAUGAGUGAUGAUCGCUUGAAUGAUUGCUUGGUGACAUUUAUUGAACGGGAUGUGUUCAUGGAAGUAAGCAAAGAUGACAUAGUUGAUGCUUUCAUGGCAAUGCAAAAACGUAGAGUUACUUAGUGAUGUAAUUUUCUACUUGUGCUUCUUUAAUGUAAGACUAGUAUUGUAAUUGAGCACAUCUGAGAUAUAUUUUGUGAACUAAAUUGUUAUGAGAUUUGCAUUAAGAUACUCAUGUAUUA